UACAGAGGAGCCAAGCGUUGUCCGGAUUGACUGGGCGUAAAGCGCACGCAGGCGGACGCGCGCGUGGGGUGUGAAAUCUGGCCGCUUAACGGCCAGGCGCCAUCCCAUACGGCGCGACUGGAGUGAUGCAGAGGUCGAUGGAAUUGCCGGUGUAGUGGUGAAAUGCGUAGAGAUCGGGCAGGAACACCCAGGGGGAAACCAGUCGACUGGGCAUCUACUGACGCUGAGGUGCGAGAGCGUGGGGAGCGAACCGGAU
rnacentral:rRNA from 1 species